GAGAGCCACACUGCAGGAGGGACUGGGGAGGGGCCCGCCUGGCUCUCUGAAGUCAGCCCACUCUCUGGAACUAGUCCAUCCCGUGAGAAUCGUGCUGACCCCCUCAAAGGGUGGUCCCCCCAUGACUUUGUCACUCUUCACAAAUCCUCCUCUUCAAGGUCGGCCUCUCAGUGACUUUACCCUAGGGACCCAGCUUCCAGCACAAUGAAAAACCUAGAGUACAGCCUAUUUAUCCUAAGGAAGAGGAUAUGAAGUUCUAGCCCAAAGAACAAGAUUCCAGGCCUUGAUUUCACCUCAAAGGACAGGCAAGUCAAUAAGCAUUGAUGUGUUUUACAUAAUAAACAGUUUAAUAGUCA